rnacentral:rRNA from 1 species
GGAAUCGCUAGUAACCGCAGGUCAGCACACUGCGGUGAAUACGUUCCCGGGCCUUGUACACACCGCCCGUCACGUCAUGGAAGCCGAGAACGAUUGAAGUCGCUGAGCUAACCCGCAAGGGAGGCAGGCGCCGAGGUCGGGUUUGGUGACUGGGACGAAGUCGUAACAAGGUAGCUGUACCGGAAGGUGCGGCUGGAUCACCUCCUUUUAAGGAGA